ensembl:snRNA Gm25425 predicted gene, 25425
CUGCUUUGGAAGCAUAUAUACUAAGAUUUGAAUGAUACAGAGAAGAUUAGUAUUGACUCUGUAAGGAUGACACAUAAAUUCAUCUUCCACAUUUUU